rnacentral:lncRNA from 1 species
UUGUGUUAAGCAAAGAAGAAAUAGAGAAUAUGGGACCAGAGUCACUUGCCCACUUGUCUAGUAGUUGCUUGGCCCCGUCCCGUUAGCGCUUUACCCCAAGACAAGAAGUAAGCUUACGCUCAAGUCCGCUCCUCUCGCAAACUGGAAUUGAUAUUGAACUGACACCUGCUAUAAACAAAAAGAAUCUAAUUUCUCACUAUGAUUACCAAACAAACUCAUAUUAUAUACUAAACAAAGCUUACCCUUUGCUAACCUCUGAUCUUAGCUUAGUUGCUUGUUCAACUCAAUCAAAGAGAAAUUUCUUCACUAAUGUUUUGUAAUCUAGGAUUUUAGGAGAAACUCCCGAAACAAUACUUGUUGCGCCUUGUAAACCAGGACAGGAAUCUUUAUUGCCUCUGUAUAUAAAGGAGUAAUCUGACCUACGUCCUUUCUUCGCCUCCGUAGAGUUAUUAACAAGUCAAGUUUUGGGGAAUCUCUCUCUCAUGUAUAGAAUUAACCGCUUCUAUCUAAUUAACCUGGCUGUAAAGACUGUUGGUGUUUAGGCUACAAAUACUUCAUGGAAUCUUUCGAACACUGAAGCAACAUUCAAAUCAUCAUGAAAAGAUGUCUAGGUUUCGGGAGUUCACACUGAUUCUUCUCGAGUCGCAAACACAAGAGAGAACUCCACUCUUAGACUCGCUUCAAAGCCUAGCAACGGAACUAUCAGCGGCAAAUGAGCAAGCAAGGGAACAAACACUAGUAAGGGGGUAAGGGCUGAAGAACAAACCAAACCACUUUCAGGCGCUUAUGCUUACUCUCGGGGUUCCUAACAGAGUUAUUCUUGUUUAGAGUCAACAAUUCAUUAGGGUUACCUUUUUGAAUAUCCUGACUUUCUGACGCUUAUUCUCUGCGGAAAGUCAAACUGCGCAUUCAUCAUGAAAUUCCACAAUGAUAAUUAUGUCGUGUCGAACUCAUUCACUUGAAGACCCGCU